rnacentral:lncRNA from 1 species
GCGCGGAGAGCGCGCCCGGGCGGCCAGCGCCGAGCGCGCGGAGCUGGCGUGGGGAGACACGGCAGGAAAGGCGAGCCGGAGUGGGUGAUGAGAGGCCGGGAGAGCCCGUCCGAGCCGGAGAGACCGGAGAGAAGGGAGCGAGCGAGUGUGCGGCGCGCACGCUGCCAGAGCCCGGGCGGAGUGCAGUCGCCUCCAAAGCCUUAGAGCGGCGCCCCAGUCACUGCAGCUCUUCACCCUAGAGCUGUGCCCUGGGACCACAGAGACCAAGAGCAUGGAAAUCGGCUGAGAGACCUGUGAAGCUUGAGGCCACUCAAGUUCCAAAUUUGUGACAAAUC